rnacentral:rRNA from 1 species
AACGAACGCUGGCGGCAUGCCUAAUACAUGCAAGUCGAGCGAACAGAUGAAGUGCUUGCACUUCUGACGUUAGCGGCGAACGGGUGAGUAACACGUAAGGAAUCUACCUAUAAGCGGGGGAUAACAUUCGGAAACGGGUGCUAAUACCGCAUAACAUCUUCUUCCGCAUGGAAGAAGAUUGAAAGACGGCUCUGCCGUCACUUAUAGAUGACCUUGCGGUGCAUUAGUUAGUUGGUGGGGUAAUGGCCUACCAAGACGAUGAUGCAUAGCCGACCUGAGAGGGUGAUCGGCCACAUUGGGACUGAGACACGGCCCAAACUCCUACGGGAGGCAGCAGUAGGGAAUCUUCCGCAAUGGGCGAAAGCCUGACGGAGCAAUGCCGCGUGAGUGAAGAAGGCCUUCGGGUCGUAAAACUCUGUUAUAAGAGAAGAACAAAUUGUAGAGUAACUGCUACAGUCUUGACGGUAUCUUAUCAGAAAGCCACGGCUAACUACGUGCCAGCAGCCGCAGUAA